UUGACUUCUGCGUUUAUGACGUUGGACUUAAAAAGCAGUAAUGUUAUUACUUUGGAUCAUGUAUUUGACUGGAAGAACAAGAUAUCUGUCUGUUUAUGAAGAAAGACCACAAUAACAGUUCACUCUUUCCAACUUCAUGACAUGGUCUGAGCGUCACAAUGGUCAUAAAGGUAAUACUUCGAAAAAACUAUAUUAACUCCAACAUGAAACUUUUUUUUAUUAGUAUUAUUCUGGAAAAUUAUUGUAUUUCUGAACAUGUUCUUCUCUGUUUCUUUCUUUGCAUGACUCUUUCCAUCUACAUGGCACGGUUUGAGUCACAAUGGCAUGGUAAGGUGAUCGUCUGACAGCAAUAUAAGGUACAUCCAAUCUGAAUGUUUCGUAUAUGAAUACAUUAAAAGCUGUAUUAAGUUGUUUUAAAGUGCAAAUUCACUGCAUUUCUAAACAUCUGUUUCUUUUUGUGCAUAACUCUUUCCCUCUGCAUGUCAUGGUUUGAGCAUCAAAAUGGCAAACUUAUGACAGCAAUAAAAGAUAAGUCAAAUCUCAAAGUUUUAUAUGAAACAUUAAUAACCAUUUUUUUUUUCUGUUUCUUCUGUCAACAUGAGUCGUCACCAUGACUUUUAUUCUGAAUAUCACUAUUUUUGAACACAUUCUUCUGUUUCUUUCUUUGCAUGAUUGUUACAUCUACAUGACAGCGUUUGAGUAUCACGAAGGCAAAAUUAUCACAGCAAUAAAGUGUCACAAUGACGGAUAUGGGAAGAUCACAUGACAGCAAUAAAGGUACAUAGCGAUGUCUAUCAAACUUGACCAAUGACCAAAAUUACAACAGAAGGGUUAAUUAACUAUGCUAUCCCUGGAUGAGGCCGUGACGUUUCUGCUGAGCUUGUGGACCGUGGCAGAGCAGAAGAAUCUGUGGGAUACAGUGAUGUGUUUUGGCUAAUUGGCCAUAGAAAAGAGGACGUCAGAACAGCGUGGAGACAGUGAAUAAUAGAUUAAUGGGCACGGCCCUAAUUGAUAAAGCAUGGCCUUCUGAAGCUAGAGGUUGUGUGGGUAUGGAGGAUGAAUCAGUGAAGAGCGUGCUUCAUGAACAGGAAAUACCAGGUUUACAUCCCACCAUGAGCUCUUCUGAUGGAGGGAUGCAUUUGUGCCUUUGAGCAAAGCAUUUUAAUGUCAUCUGCUUGAGGUCUUGAUACCACAGCUUUCUAGUUACCGUGUAAUCCAGCUACAGUCUGCCAAUGGAGGAUAUUUUACACUGCUUGCAAAAGACUGCUUCCUCUUACCUUCUUAUGUAAGCUUGUUUAAUCACGUUUGCAUCAACACUCUCAUGGCAAUUCACAACUUCUAAGGCUUUGACAAAUAAGUGAUGAACUUAUGUCAGUUUGUAUUAUUUCAUUUGUGCAUGCCUUUUUUGUAUUAUUUCAUUUGUGCAUUUUUGUAUGAUUUGCUUAUCCCCAUUUAAGACCUUCAUGCUUUCUUUUUGGUCUAAAAAUCAUAUGUUUUUCAUAACAUGUCAUGAACAUGUCAAAUUUAGGCUGGAUUAAGAAAUACCAAGAGAGAGAAUCUCUAAAUUGUGAUAUGAUUGGUUUGUUGUGUAUUAACCGUAAUUGGCAAUCCAUCAGUUAAGCUAUAAACAUAUACUGAUUUAUUAUAAUCUUCAACAAGAAAGCCAAAUUAAUCCUGUAAUCAGGCAUCACAACUGCCAAAGUGACUGUGAUGUGUAUAUGCUGUUAAUAUUACGUUAUCAAAAUUGAAUAUUUUUUUCUGGUAUUCAGUGAUAGUAAUAUUGGUUCUUUGCUGAAAGGCAUUGAAGCAGCAGUCUUUGACAUGGUUAUACUUAAUCUGAGAUUCAUUGUAAUGUGAAUCAAUUGAUGGAUGGUAAGUGUGUCACAGUAAGUGAUCCAAUACAGCUUAUUUUGCCCUAUGAUUAAAGUCAUUUGUUUUUGAUGAUAAUAUCAUGGUCGCAAAAUCACACAGUCUUCAUCUAGUUUCAGUAGCUAAAAACAAGAUGCUUUGCAACCAUAUUAUAUGCUGAUGACACAAUUUUAAAUGAGCAAACAAAGAGGAACCUAUGCCAAGGGAAUAUGUCUGAUGAGAAACAGCUACCAAUAAUGACAGACAAAUUGAACAGUCCAAACAAUAUGGUAAUGUGCAUACUAUAUAGGGAAUUUAAAACACAAAACAAAUACAUUAACAUGUUACAUAAUGAAUAGCACAACAUUCAUCAGCUCAUUCCACAGAUCUGUUGCAUUCAGCAGAGGAACGUCUAACUAUGCAAUGAUAUAAACACAAAUGAACAAAAUAUCAUUUUCUUACUAACAUGGAAUGCAAAAAGUGAUGUACUGCACUAUAGAGCAGUAGAUUUUCAGCAAAUGAAGUCUGUGUUGUGUUUGUCACACACUGCUAUUCUAUGAUUUGUAACAUAACGCAUGAGUGGUAUGAAAUAUGACUUUGUCCUUGACUGUUCAUAUAAACUGAUACUGCAUAUUUACUGUAGUAUAAAACAACUGGGAUGCAUCAUUGUUUGUUGCUUCAGUUGUAUAUGUGCACACCAUUCCAGACCAAAGUUAUGUGAGUGGUAUGGAGUGGAAUUGUUUUAUGAAAAUAUAAUAAUAAAGUUUUG
ensembl:lncRNA